CUCAGAAGAAGCUGUGCAAUACAGAGUUGAAUUUUGCAUGCAUAUAUUUGAAGUUCUGUAUUGAGAGAGAAAAGACGCAAUGAGGAACACGAGGAAGUACUGGGAAGAGGAUGCAAAUGUUCUGAGGGGAAUUGCUGUUCAUUUCCUCAGCUGGUUGGUCUGCCUUCGGGUGAGUUACUCAGAAGAUGCAUCGCAAGUUCUGUCUCUGUAGCUGCAAGGGCUGUGAUUAAAGUGGACUUCACGCACGUAAUUUGCUCAGGUCCCCAUCGUUCUUAUGCUGAGGACCCCGGAGCUGGAUGCAGCACUCCAGAAUCGCAGAAUCAUUUAGGUUGGAAAAGACCAAGAUCAUCGAGUCCAACCUUUGACCUGUCACCAACUUGUCCAGUAGACCACAGCGCUAAGUGCCAUGUCCAGUUGUUUCUUGAACACUUCCAGGGAUGGUGGCUCCACCUUCAUGGAGGAUUUCUUCCUGCCUGGUGUUCAUCCUGAGCCUCCCCUGGCACAGUUUGAGACUACGUCAUCUUGUCCUGGCACCCAGCAGAGGCUGAGUCCCACUUCACUACAGCCUCUUUUCAGGGAGUUGUAGAGAGCAAUAAGGUCUCCCCUGAGCCUCCUUUUCUCCAGGCUAAACAAUCUCAGCUCUCCCAAUUUGUCCUCAUGGGACUGACUCUAGAUCCUUCACCAGCUUCAUUACCCUUCUCUGGACAUGCUCCAGCACCUCAAUGUCUUCCUCGAAGCAAGAGGCUCAGAAGUGGCCACAGCAAUGCUUCAAGUUCCAGAUGGAAGUUCAAACUGGAGUUUGCUUUCUAACUAGUGUUAAUACUUUGGCUUGACAUGUGUUUGCCUGGUUUCUGAAAAUAUGUUUCAGUUAAGGACUGACCUAUAGUGCUAAGUUCAGAACGAGGACUUGCAGCGUAGUUUGCCAAAAUAAGAGCUGGAAAUGACACCUGUCAGUUUUUGUCCAUACAUUCUUUUAUUUAUCAAUAAGAUGUAUAUAUUGACAUUGAAACAUUUUACACACAAACAAACGUAUACAAACACGCAUAUACAUUUAGGAGGCGUGACAAUGUACACUUUUUUGCUAACUGUAACCAUUAUUUGGCAUUGCAGAGAUCUGGCUUAGUCCAGGACAGAAAGGUCUGUAACAGUUUUCUUCUCUGCUACCAGGAGGAUUCUCUUGUAAGAUUCUAAAAUUUGCUAUAAGUUUGAUCCCUUCUGUGGUGCCUGGUGAAAUCUGACAGCAAUCAAUUGUUGUUAGCUAUUGGCCAGUUUUUAAACUGUAGCAGUGGUGUAAGAUGCCUUAGGGCAUUCUUUCAUCUCAUGUGCUUUAGCAAAAACGGAACAUGAGACAGUACAAACAAUAAAGAUAUCCCCUUUAACUUGCUAAAGAGUGUCUUUUAAAUUUGGAACAGAGUCUCAGACUAAAUGUUUCUCAUUACCAUUGUCAAUACAAAGCUAAUGUUGAAGACAAUGGUUAGAACAUUAAUCAUGUGGAGAGUGGAGGAAAUGUCCUAGCUAAACUGAGUAAGCAGAGGCAUUCUGGAGACUGUUUGCUCUAGGAGUUAGUCACCCUUCCACAGUCACAGAGCUGGCUUCUACUAACAUAGAGAUAGCUGGCUGUGGGGUUGCCUAUUUUUAGUAGGAAUGCAUAAAGAUGACUAACACUGCAUCAUGCCUUGGAGUGAACACGUAGCAUUUGUCAGAAAUACAUGUUCAACAGAGUUUAAGAAAUACCAUGAGUGACUAUAUCUAUGUCUAAUGAAUUUCUCAUAGAGAGGAAGUGACUGAGCACACAAGGCAACUUCUCCAUACAAAGAAUUAAUGAAUUUUGUGAGCACAGAGGAAGAAAUGCAUCUCUCUUAAAAUGAUCAUCAAGGAAAAUAAAGUAAUGAAAUAAGCCAGAAAGACCAUCACACUCCAAAUUGUCCUGCUAUCUAUCAUGAUGGCUGUGAAGUCCAGUGGAAAUGGGUGUACAUAUGAGAUCAACCAAAUCUCUGUGGGGAGGACAGGAUAUGAGAACUGUGACCUUUGUUUUAAGUAUUUGAAAGAUGUAAAACAUGUAAGGCUGUAAGAUGAGGUGCUGAAGGAGAUGUCAAAUACAUUUUUUCAUGCUAUUCUAUUUUUUAUCACACAGAAGAAAUAUGAUUGUGACAACAAUCAGUGGAUGCAUAGAACUGGAGAAAGAAAGACAAAACAAGUAUAAAUAGCAAGGAAGCCCCAUAAUUGUUCCUCCUCCAUGUAUACACACCAUACAUCUUUUCAACAGUCAUCAGGGGUGUUGAAGCUCAGUUCUAGUGCACAAAGAUGUAUAGCAAGUACUCAGUCCACUUGCAUAAAUAUCAGAAUUUAGCACGGUAAAGCACUCAGCCAACUUGUAGGACAACUUAAAGAGAAAAAGGAGAAAAAUAAAAGGAGUGAGCUAAUUCAGAGCAAGGAGACUGUCAAGCAAAUGAAAAUAUUCUUUCUCGUGUGUAAAUCAUGUGCAGAUUUCUUUCUAUUGCUGAAGUGUGUUCACUUAUUUCAUUAAUUAUUUUAGGAGGAAUAUUUUAUCACCAACAAGUACUAUCUACAUAAAUGAGCUUGCCCUCCACACCCUGGCAUACUACACUGUGGGUAGUGCAGUACAUGAGAAUCCAUGGUGGCAUGAUGACCUUUGCAUUUCUAGCUUGGCAGGCUUGCUUGAAACUGACUUGGUUGAGCUACUAUUGAAAUAAUAAAACAUAAUCAACAGAAAAUAAAGACUCACAGAUCCCUAAGAGCUAUAUGGAGCUUCCACACAGUGAGGGCUCUGGUUAGAAAUUGAAGCUGGCUAAGCAACAUUUGUUGAAAGGGCUGGACAGAAAUUCUGCCUCAGGUUGUAUUCCACGCAAUUCAGUGACUUUUGUACCCUGAUAAAAGUAGAUACUAGAGAGAAUGUAGCCUGUAAAAUCCACAGCACCAUCAUGUCAGUUUUGAUGUUUUCCAUUUACUGUGAAGGGUCCUGAAAAGGUCCUAAAUAUUAAUUUUCUUUUCUUUUUUUCCCUCAGAAACAGCAUCAGCCAUCCUCUCUAUAAGCAAAAGUAUAGUUAAUCAUUAAGUCAAGGAUGCUUCUGUUUGAAAUUACAUAAAUAUGCCAUCUUCAAAACCAAAAAAAGAUGAGAUACCGAUUGUCACAGAUGUGCAUGGAUAAUGGAGGUCUUCUCAUUAGAAUCAUGGAUUUGUUAAGGUUGGACCAGACCUCUAGGAUCAUCAAGUCCAACUUAAACUAACACUGUUGUAUUCACCAUUAAGCCACAUCCCCUAGUGCCUCAUCUACGUGCCUUUUGAACACUUCCAGGGAUGGUGAUUCCACCACUUCCCUGGGCAGCCUGUUCCAAUGCAUGAUCACACUUUCAGGGCAGAUUUUUUCUCCUAAUAUCUGACCUAAACCUCCCCAGUGUAACUUCCAUAACUUCCAUUUCCUCUUGUCCUGUUGCUCGUUCCCUGGGAGAACAGACUGACUUCUGCCUCGUUACAACCUCUAGAAUCAUAAACUGUGGUUGGAAAAGACCUCUAAGAUCAUCAAGUCAAAGUGGUAACCCAGCACUGCCUUGUUCACCACCAAACCAUAUCCCAAAGGGCCACAUUAGGGGCCUUGAGAGCUACAUAGGAGGCACAGGACAGUGCAUUGUAGAGUUGAACCCACUCUGUGUGUUACAGACCAUGUGUGGAAGAGCAGACAGCCAAUGAAAUAUCACUGUAGGUUUUCCAGCUGUCUGACAUGACUCCACUGGAAAAAUAAAGGGAAGAGAUAUAUUUUACAAUUGUCUCAUCUUUGCAGCUGGUUAUGUCUCAGCUACUGCACAUAAAGUGGGGCUUAAGAGAGCAGACAUACCGUCUUUCCACACAGGAGAAAGAUGACCAAACACAACAGAGACUGAAAAUAGAGCUCAGGCAAUGAGUCACUCAUUUGUGACAUUCUCUGCUAUGGCAUGGGAAGAAACUUCAGCAUAUUCUUUUCCUCUAAUGUUCAGCUGUGAAGCUAAUUUCAAAUGAAGCCACACACAUAUCUGACACACCCAAACCCAUACCUCAUUAUGAGGGGUGUCCUAUGUUUUAGACCCAAAUUAGCAUCAGUCAUGUAAGGGCACAGUGUCCUCAUUUCAGUUAUAGUAAAUUACUGCAUGAGAAACACUGAAUCAUAAAGUUCAGAUUUAAAGCCUUUAUAGUUAAUUUUUAUUCCCUUGUCCUCUUUGUCUGUAUGUUCAUUUUAAGAUUUCGACUAUGUCAUCAGGCUUUAUUGCAAAAGCUCCCUAAGCCUUUUUGGGAAUAACUCUUUCCUUUAUAGAAUUUAAAUCAGUAAAUAAUAUAUUUUGUAAGCAACCUUCUGUAAAGGCCUUGUACCAGAAAACAAUUUUUUUUAUACUUUAUAAUCAGUAGGAAGUGAUAGCAUAUGAACUCACUUUUCAAUUAUCAAAGAAAGUUUUACAAAUACCAGGAAAGCACAAAAAUUUUUUAAGAACAAUUCUAGGGCACAGUAUUCUACUUUUGAAGAAAAAUAAAUCUAUUCACUAUUUGUCACUUA